GCUCUCCACUGCUGUUGUUGCUGCUGUUGUUGCUGCUGUUUGUGCUGGGGCUGGGAGGAGCCAUGGGGUGGGGAGCUGGUGCAUAGGACUGCUUAGUUUGGAGAUAGUGGGGGUAGUAGUAGGUGUACUGGGGGUACAUUGGCUGCUGGUCCAGGCGUUUGCCCAUGUAGCUGGAGUCCUUCUGGCUGGCGCAGGGAACUCGGCGGCAGGGUGUAGUGCCCCAGGGCCUUUCUUCCUCUCACGCCGCUAUUCCUGACAGUGAGGGCUACAGCGGAGCUGCCUGCCGAGACUUCCUCGCCGUCUGCCGCCCGCUACUUCCAGCGCAGCCCAAAUCGCACAGGCGCGGACAUCGAUGUGCGUGCGGCUGUGGGGGGUGGGGGUGGCAGCCCCUGUCCGCUGCCCGCUGCGUGACUCCGCGCUGCCGUGCCCGGCCGGGAGCGUCCUGCGAGCGGAGACAGUGCAACUCCACACCGCCGCCCGCUCAGCUCGUUCGCUCUCCUCGUCCUCUCCCCGCUCUCGAGCCCUCCCCUCUUCUCGCUCCCCACCCACCCC
rnacentral:lncRNA from 1 species